UAUUACUAUUCUAGAAUGCUCCCUCCCGUUACAAAAUGAAGGCUGGAUUGGAGAAGUUUAAAACCAGGAGCAAGGAGACCAUUUCUUCUAGAAGAAAUGUCUAAGACCUUAAUUAGAGUAAUGGCUUUGGAAGAGAAAGGAGCAGGAUAAUGACAGAUACAGAAAAAGGAGCAGAUUUGUGAGAGAAAUGAUGAGAUCAGGAGGAGAAGGAGCCAAGGUGUGAAGCCAAGCAGAGAGAGAAGCACCAGGCAAGAUGAAAAAAGAGCUGGUGCAACCUGGCAAACGAGCUGUCCUGGAUACAUUUUAGAGAAAGAAAUAAACACCUGCUUCCUGUUUUA